rnacentral:rRNA from 1 species
CGCGUAGGCGGUUCGAUAAGUCGGAGGUGAAAUCCCUCGGCUCAACCGAGGACCCGCAGCCGAUACUGUCGAACUUGAGUGCAGGAGAGGAGAGCGGAAUUCCCAGUGUAGCGGUGAAAUGCGUAGAUAUUGGGAGGAACACCGGUGGCGAAGGCGGCUCUCUGGACUGUCACUGACGCUGAGGCGCGAAAGCUAGGGGAGCAAACG